CACAGAGCAGAGAGAGCGGUGCAGGGUCAGAUCACCCCAGUGCCAGAGCAACGAGACAGAGCAACAGAGGCAGCACAGCAGCAGCAGCCAGGACCCUGCUUUGUGCAGGGCUGGAUCCCAGGAGCUCAGCACAGCCACACAUGGCCCGACAGCUGCUCAUGAGCCUCACGUACGGCAUGACCGAGCUCUUGCAGCUCAACCCUCAGCUGCAACUCACAUGGAGGAAGAUUUUAUAAUCCACAUAGGAGUUCCAGGAGCCUUCGUUCUGCACCCGGGGGUCCUGAACGCGCACCGUGGUCAGCUCCUACGGCACAAACGCUGCCUGAGCGCGGGGAGGCAGUGCUCACCACCCCGUGCCAGCACCACCCCCAGGGGGGUCCCAGGUCUGCCCACCAAGGGAGACUGGGAUCCCACAGCCUUUUGGAACAGCACUCAAAAAUCCCCAGAUCGCCAACGAGAGGCAAGCAGGGCUCCCUGCUCAGAUGAGCUGUAACCACCCAAGAACGGGAUGGGGUAGCAGUCUGCUCCUCCUGAGCUGCCUGCCCUCCUCUCCUACAGCAUGUCCCUGCUCCUGGGCCGAUAACAGGGUCUCUGGGAGCGCCAGACACAGUCUCAGGAGAGCUUGUCCCCCACUGGAACUCCCGUUAGCCAGGAACAGCCCCCUCCAUUGCACCAAGACCCCAGGUCCCCAGUUCGCUCCUGCAGAGCCAGGACUGGCAGUGCAGGAGGGAGAUGGCGUGGAAGAGCCCAGCCCACUCCCCACAUGGGUAAGUUUGCACUGAAGUGCCAGCGGAGCCGGUUUGGCUGGGGAGGAGAAAACGCUGAUUUUCAGAGCUCCCUCCUCACUGCCUGCCCAAGACAAGCUCAGCUGGGCGGUGUGAGCAGGGGAAGCAGCCAGCCCACACCAGGAGCCCCACUCCCCUCACCAGAGGAAACCUGCUUCUCUCCUGCUUGGAUCAGCCCCCUUCCCCUCCCCAGCAAGCCUCCCGUCAGCACCAGACACAGAGAUGCCGUUUCCCUCCUCCUCUUUCACAAGCCACCUGAACGAGCAGCAAAGAUUGUUUGCAAGAGCCCCUGGGAUGAACCAGCAGCGCAGGACUUUGCCUGUCACGGCCCAGGCUCCCGAGGGACAUGGCUGCCUGACCGCAGAGGCGAAGCAGCCCUUCACCUGUUCCCCAUUCCUGGAGUCUUGCCUUUUAGGCCACAAGAGCUGCCAAGUGUCAGGCAGCACUGGAAACCCAGCCCUUAUUUAUAUGCUCAGAUGUGAAACAAAGCUCUUCUGAGGACGGAGCUAAUUUUAGCUGGGACAAGGGGAGGGGUUAAGCCACACUUUUAAAAAAAAAAAUAUCUGGCUCCACCGGUUUGCAGGUAGCUUCUGCAAGACUUCAGCCAUCCGAUUCCACUCAGAGAGCACAGAAAGUGUUAAGAACAGCAGAGAAGAGUUUUGGGAUAGACAGCAAGAGACCCAGGCUCACUCCAGGAUGUCUCCAACCAGGAGGACGCAAGAGGUAGAAGCCACACAGGAACACCCCACAUCCGCGCUCCUGGAGCCUCACGACCUUCACCCAGCCGGAUAUCGGGCAAUCCAGGCGUUUAACGAGUGCCUGCUCCAGUUGGACCUCUCCCAGCCCAGCACUCACACUGCUGACAGAGCACGCGUUAGUUUUUAAUCUCUUACUUUCUAUCUUUUACCUUCCUUGCUGAUUUGGGCACACCCUUAGCAGCUGUCUCUACCCCUCUGCAACAGCAGGACCCACACUGAACACGCUUUCCUAACCAGCACAUCCCGGCGGCAGUUUAGCCCAGCUCGGGGCUCCCUCCCACAGCUCCAGUCCGUACCCAGCCCCAGGGCAGCCGGGGUUUUGUGUCCCUCAGCGCUGACACAGCCCGACUCCAGGUGACUUCCAGCCACACGAGAGCCCCUGAGUUUCGAGGAAAGCCUCACAGAGAUGCUCCACGCCAGGAAAAAAGGGAACAAGUCCCGUUUAUUUCUGCUUGUCACCCCUGGACAGAGCUGACUGCAGCCGAUACCAGGGAGGAUCUGCUGGGGCUGAUUUCCCACCCGGGAAGGCGCAGGCCCCCCAUGCAGCCAGGCGCCCCGCAUUAGGACCCCCUCGGUCCACCGCUGCCCACGGGAGGGGACGUCCCGGGCACCCCAGCGCCACAGCACAUCAGCACCAGGGCCGGACCCCCGGCCACACCGACCCCAACCCGCCCCGGCCAGCCGCGCCGACUCCGCAGCGUCCAGCACCCCGCUCCCGGCGCUUGGCACCGCUGCCGGGCGGCUGCUUCAGGCACCGCGGCCCGGCCCCGCCGGGAGAGGCCGCAGCAGGGGGCCAGGCCCAGGCCCAGCCCCACCGCUCCAGCCAGCCACAGGCCAAGACCCCCGCCAUGGUGGGCUGGCCGCUGCCUGCCGCGGGGCCCAGGGGACCCCACGAGGCGCCGAGCCGACCAGCCUGCCUGCCCCCCCAGGGCCC